GACGAACGCUGGCGGCAUGCCUAAUACAUGCAAGUCGAGCGAACAGAUGAAGUGCUUGCACUUCUGACGUUAGCGGCGAACGGGUGAGUAACACGUAAGGAAUCUACCUUUAAGCGGGGGAUAACAUUCGGAAACGGGUGCUAAUACCGCAUAAUAUCUUCUUCCGCAUGGAAGAAGAUUGAAAGACGGCCCUGCUUUCACUUAUAGAUGACCUUGCGGUGCAUUAGUUAGUUGGUGGGGAAAUGGCCUACCAAGACGAUGAGGCAUAGGCGACCUGAGAGGGUGAUCGGCCACGUUGGGACUGAGACACGGCCCAAACUCCUACGGGAGGCAGCAGUAGGGAAUCUUCCGCAAUGGGCGAAAGCCUGACGGAGCAAUGCCGCGUGAGUGAAGAAGGCCUUCGGGUCGUAAAACUCUGUUAUAAGAGAAGAACAAAUUGUAGAGUAACUGCUACAGUCUUGACGGUAUCUUAUCAGAAAGCCACGGCUAACUACGUGCCAGCAGCCGCAGUAA
rnacentral:rRNA from 1 species